rnacentral:lncRNA from 1 species
GAGGAAAGGAUUGUAUUUUUGAAAAGUUUUUUUUAUACAAAAAAAAGAGAGAAGAAUGUAAAAGCAAAAAGUUUGCAAGCAAAUCUAAAAUAAAAAAAAAGCGAGUAUUGAAGAAGAAAAGAUUCAAACGCGUUAAGGUUUUUAUUUCUUUUUUCCUUUUUAUUUUCACUUUUUUUGUACAUAUAAACAUUUUUUCUUUUUUCCUUUUCUUUCAAAAAUAGUAUACAUAUAUUUAGAUAUAAAAAUAAAAAAGAAAACAAAAAAUAAUACAUUUUUUAAAUUCCGGCCACCGUGCAAAGGCGACAAAGACGGCGGACGGCGCCGGUCCGGCGCCUGGGUACUGACCGGACCAUAGCCGAAAUGGGAAAAGAGGGAGAGAGUUGAGAGC